rnacentral:rRNA from 1 species
AAGUAGUUUGAGAUUUUUGCUCAGGAUGAACGCUGGCGGCGUGCCUAAUACAUGCAAGUCGAACGCACAGCGAAAGGUGCUUGCACCUUUCAAGUGAGUGGCGAACGGGUGAGUAACACGUGGACAACCUGCCUCAAGGCUGGGGAUAACAUUUGGAAACAGAUGCUAAUACCGAAUAAAACUUAGUGUCGCAUGACAAAAAGUUAAAAGGCGCUUCGGCGUCACCUAGAGAUGGAUCCGCGGUGCAUUAGUUAGUUGGUGGGGUAAAGGCCUACCAAGACAAUGAUGCAUAGCCGAGUUGAGAGACUGAUCGGCCACAUUGGGACUGAGACACGGCCCAAACUCCUACGGGAGGCUGCAGUAGGGAAUCUUCCACAAUGGGCGAAAGCCUGAUGGAGCAACGCCGCGUGUGUGAUGAAGGCUUUCGGGUCGUAAAGCACUGUUGUAUGGGAAGAACAGCUAGAAUAGGAAAUGAUUUUAGUUUGACGGUACCAUACCAGAAAGGGACGGCUAAAUACGUGCCAGCAGCCGCGGUAAUACGUAUGUCCCGAGCGUUAUCCGGAUUUAUUGGGCGUAAAGCGAGCGCAGACGGUUUAUUAAGUCUGAUGUGAAAGCCCGGAGCUCAACUCCGGAAUGGCAUUGGAAACUGGUUAACUUGAGUGCAGUAGAGGUAAGUGGAACUCCAUGUGUAGCGGUGGAAUGCGUAGAUAUAUGGAAGAACACCAGUGGCGAAGGCGGCUUACUGGACUGCAACUGACGUUGAGGCUCGAAAGUGUGGGUAGCAAACAGGAUUAGAUACCCUGGUAGUCCACACCGUAAACGAUGAACACUAGGUGUUAGGAGGUUUCCGCCUCUUAGUGCCGAAGCUAACGCAUUAAG